CCUGCCCCUAGAGACAUUGCAGGUAUGGCUGCUGUGUCAUAUGUGUGUCAAUAGGUGACAGAGAGGAGAGAGGCUAUGAGUAAUUUCAGUGUUCUUUGAGCAUCUGAAUGAGUAGUAGCCUACCAUU
ensembl:snoRNA LOC120101290 small nucleolar RNA SNORA17